GACGAACGCUGGCGGCGUGCUUAACACAUGCAAGUCGAACGGUGAAGCCUUCGGGUGGAUCAGUGGCGAACGGGUGAGUAACACGUGAGCAAUCUGCCCUUGACUCUGGGAUAACUUCGGGAAACCGGAGCUAAUACCGGAUAUGACAUCUGGCCGCAUGGUCUGGGUGUGGAAAGAUUUAUCGGUCAGGGAUGAGCUCGCGGCCUAUCAGCUUGUUGGUGGGAAUGCCACCAAGGCGACGACGGUAGCCGGCCUGAGAGGGCGGACCGGCCACACUGGGACGUGAGACACGGCCCACGAC
rnacentral:rRNA from 1 species